UACGUAGGGGGCAAGCGUUGUCCGGAAUCAUUGGGCGUAAAGAGCGUGUAGGCGGCUCGAUAAGUCCGCUGUGAAAGUCCAGGGCUCAACCCUGGAAGGCCGGUGGAAACUGUCGGGCUAGAGUCCGGAAGAGGCGAGUGGAAUUCCCGGUGUAGCGGUGAAAUGCGCAGAUAUCGGGAGGAACACCAAUGGCGAAGGCAGCUCGCUGGGACGGUACUGACGCUGAGACGCGAAAGCGUGGGGAGCAAACCGGG
rnacentral:rRNA from 1 species